CCUACGGGUGGCAGCAGUGGGGAAUAUUGCGCAAUGGGCGAAAGUCUGACGCAGCGACGCCGCGUGAGGGAUGAAGGUCUUCGGAUCGUAAACCUCUGUCAGCAGGGAAGAACGGUCACUGUGCUAAUCAGCAGUGAAUUGACGGUACCUGCAAAGGAAGCACCGGCUAACUCCGUGCCAGCAGCCGCGGUAAUACGGAGGGUGCGAGCGUUAAUCGGAAUUACUGGGCGUAAAGCGCUCGUAGGCGGUAUGUCAAGUCAAGGGUGAAAUCCCCGCGCUCAACGUGGGAACUGCCUUUGAAACUGGGAAACUGGAGGGUGGGAGAGGAUAGUGGAAUUCCAGGUGUAGGAGUGAAAUCCGUAGAUAUCGGGAGGAACAUCAGUGGCGAAGGCGACUAUCUGGAACAUAACUGACGCUGAGGAGCGAAAGCGUGGGUAGCAAACAGGAUUAGAUACCCCUGUAGUC
rnacentral:rRNA from 1 species